GUACCUGUCUAUAAGGAGUCCUGCUUAUCACAAUGAAUGUUCUCCUGGGCAGCGUUGUGAUCUUUGCCACCUUCGUGACUUUAUGCAAUGCAUCAUGCUAUUUCAUACCUAAUGAGGGAGUUCCAGGAGAUUCAACCAGGAGUAAGUCUUGGCUUUUCAAUGUUUAUUAUGUUAUUGCAGCCUGGUAGAUGGACCUGUCUGCAGAUGAAAGCCUUUGUGUUUCUGUUUGUUUGUUUCUUUGUUUUUUGAGAUAGUCAUGCUCUGUCUCCCAGGCUGGAGUGCAGUGGCACCAUUUCAGCUCACUGCAAACUCCUCCUCCCGGGUUCCAGUGAUUCUACCUCCUCAGCCUCCCAAGUAGCUGGGACUACAGGUGUGUGCCAUCAUGCCUGGCUAAUUUUUGUAUUUUUGGUAAAGAUGGGGCUUUGCCACGUUGGCCAGGCUGGUCUCGAACUCCUGACCUCAGGUCAUCUGCCCGCCACAGCCUCCCAAAGUGUUGGGAUUACAGGUGUGAGCCACUGUGCCUGGCCUCACUUGGGCAGCCUUCUAAGAACACAGUAGCCUGGGCCCUGUACCCAGAGAUACUGAUUUCAUUGUUCUAGGGUAAGGCUGAGACAUGGGUGGCUUUCAAGUACCCAAGAUGUUUCACAUGUGCACCCAGGGUUGAAAACCACCGAUGCAAAGCAAAGGGAAGUGUAGAAGUGAGAUUCUCAUCCA
rnacentral:lncRNA from 10 species